GAUGAACGCUGGCGGCGUGCCUAAUACAUGCAAGUCGAGCGAACAGACGAGGAGCUUGCUCCUCUGACGUUAGCGGCGGACGGGUGAGUAACACGUGGAUAACCUACCUAUAAAACUGGGAUAACUUCGGGAAACCGGAGCUAAUACCGGAUAAUAUAUUGAACCGCAUGGUUCAAUAGUGAAAGACGGUUUUGCUGUCACUUAUAGAUGGAUCCGCGCCGCAUUAGCUAGUUGGUAAGGUAACGGCUUACCAAGGCAACGCUGCGUAGCCGACCUGAGAGGGGGAUCGGCCACACUGGAACUGGGACACGGUCCAGACUCCUACGGGAGGCAGCAGUAGGGAAUCUUCCGCAAUGGGCGAAAGCCUGACGGAGCAACGCCGCGUGAGUGAUGAAGGUCUUCGGAUCGUAAAACUCUGUUAUUAGGGAAGAACAAAUGUGUAAGUAACUAUGCACGUCUUGACGGUACCUAAUCAGAAAGCCACGGCUAACUACGUG
rnacentral:rRNA from 1 species